CACUAUGGCCAUACCACCCUGAUCGCACCCGAUCUCGUCUGAUCUUGGAAGCUAAGCAGGGUCAGGCCUGGUCAGUAUUCAGAUGGAAUACCUUUCCACAAAACAUUAACCAAAUAUA
rfam:Fukomys damarensis contig134877, whole genome shotgun sequence.